rnacentral:rRNA from 1 species
UAGGGAAUAUUAGAAAUGGACGAAAGUCUGAUCUAGCAACACCGCGUGUGCGAAGAAGGCCUUCGGGUUGUAAAGCACUUUUUGGAAGGAUUAGGAAGGAAUGUACUUCCAGAAUAAGUCUCGGCUAACUACGUGCCAGCAGCCGCGGUAACACGUAGGAGGCAAACGUUAUCCGGAUUUACUGGGCGUAAAGCGCGUGUAGGUGGUUCUGUAAGUAGGGCGUGAAAGCUCCUGGCUCAACUGGGAGAGGCCGUUCUAAACUGCAGAGCUAGAGGAUGGUAGAGGGAGGUGGAAUUCCGGGUGUAGCGGUGGAAUGCGCAGAUAUCCGGAGGAACACCAGUGGCGAAUGCGGCCUCCUGGACCAUUCCUGACACUCAGACGCGAAAGCUAGGGUAGCAAACA